rnacentral:rRNA from 1 species
UACGUAGGUGGCAAGCGUUGUCCGGAAUUAUUGGGCGUAAAGCGCGCGCAGGUGGUUUCUUAAGUCUGAUGUGAAAGCCCACGGCUCAACCGUGGAGGGUCAUUGGAAACUGGGGAACUUGAGUGCAGAAGAGGAAAGUGGAAUUCCAAAUGUAGCGGUGAAAUGCGUAGAGAUUUGGAGGAACACCAGUGGCGAAGGCGACUUUCUGGUCUGUAACUGACACUGAGGCGCGAAAGCGUGGGGAGCGAACAGG